rnacentral:lncRNA from 1 species
UUUAUUUCUCAGGCUGUGCCCUGGGACAGUAGUGUGACUCUGUGCUUUUAAUGUGCUAGUUUAUGGGAGGGACAGAGGUUAGUAAGUUGAAAAGAGAAGGAAAGGAAAGGAAAGGAAAGGAAAGGAAAGGAAAGGAAAGGAAAGGAAAGGAAAGGAAAGGAAAGGAAAGGAAAGGAAAGGAAAAAAGGAAAAAGAAGGGAAAAGAAAAAAGGGAAAAGAAAGAAAAGGGAAAAGAAAGAAGGGAAAAGAAAAAAGGGAAAAGAAGAAGGGAAAAGGGAAAAAAGAAGGGAAAGGGAAAAAGAAAGAAGGGAGAAGGGAAAAGAAAGAAGGGAGAAGGGAAAAGAAAGAAGGGAAUGGGAAAAGAAAGAAGGGAGAAGGGAAAAGGGGAAAACAAACAGGGAAAGGGGAAAACAAACAAACAGGGAAAAGGGAAAACAGGGAAAAGAGGGAAAAGGAAAGAGGAAAGGAAGAAGGAAAGGAAAGAGGAAAGGAGAAAGGAGAAAGGAAAAAGGAAGGAAAGGAACAAGAAAGGAAAGGAAAAAGAAAGGAAAAGAAAAAAGAAAAGAAAGUGCUAGUGCACUGGUGGCGGCAUCAACCAGCUUUAGCCAGCUUGCCCAAGAGGGACAGAAAGUCUGUUGUUUUCUGCUGUAACCAGAGCAAGAUUCUGACCGCCAUGAAAAUUCUCAGCAGAACAUACAAUUCUUGAGCUCACAGGAUUCGUAAGUUUGGCUGGCAUGUGGCUAUAGGUAAAGCUGUUUGUCAUAUUUGAUCUUUCUAGAUGUAUAUUCACUGAGUCGUAUCUAGAAGAGUAAGUCCAAGCUUGCAGAGAACAUCCAGGACCCUGCAGUGCUCCCACGUUGGGAGGGGUACACUCAAUAGGCACCGACACACUAUCCUACAAUUGUCUUCUGGGCUGUUCUACAUACCCGUGUUGGCCGUUUGAGGGCUAAGCAGCUCUGAGCUGUCCAUUUCUAAGACACCUAUCGAGGGAAGGGAGUUUAUAACUUGAUUUGUGUUGUUUUAAAUACUACUGUGAUGACACAAUCAUCAGGAACAUUUUGGAGGCUCCUACAGCAGGUGUAACUCUGGACUUGGACUUAACAUUUAACCUGUUUAGGACACAGACUAGGCAUGUAGGCAUAGACUCUGCAUGGAACUGUGAAUAAGUCAUAGGGAGAGGGGGGCAACAUGGUGUGCCGAGAUUUCAGUAAAGAAUAAAGUACAGGGCUGGAGAGGUAACUCCGUCUGAAAACAGAUUGUGGGCAAACAAGAGGUCUUGAGUUCUAGCCUCAAAACCCAUAUAAAAAUAACAAUGACAAAAGCCAGGAGGGUGGACUCUGCUUGUAAUCUCAGUAUUAAGGUCAAAGAGUCAGGCUGAUUCUAGGGGUUUGCAGGUUAGCCAGACUAUCCAAAUGUGUGAAUUCCAGACCAGUGAGAAAGAAACCUUGUUUCUCCCUGAAAAUAUAAAAUAAAAUGGACCACAUCUAAACAUUGACCCCAGAAGUAAACUAAGUUCCACACACAAGUAUACACAUAUUAUACACACACACACACACACACACACACACACACACGAGUAUUCAUAUACACACACACAAAUAAACACACAUACACAGAUGUGUACACAUUCACACAGAAAAACAUUUUUAAAAAGUGCAGUAGCCCACCAAGAAGGUUAGGACUUGAACUGUCUCUGGAGACAGCUCAGUAGAGGAUGGAUAAGGCUGUUCUCCAUGGCUCCAGGAGUAUCCGGGAAAGAAAGACUUCUGGGUUGGGAAAUAAUACCCAAAUAGACUACUUUUUAGACACCUCCAAACUGAGAAGGGCUUUUCUUCUGAGACAUGAAGUGUUAGUUAGCCUGAAUCUUUUUCUCUCUGUAGGAAAAAAGAAUUUGCCUGAGAGGGUUAUCCUCCCAGAAGAGCUGGAAAAACCGACAGAAACUUUCCAGAGAGCCUGGGAAUGUUAGAACCUCACCUACCUGGACCACUGGCCUUUGAUAAAGUCCUCAUGACCAUGUCCCCCUAGCACUGGGAUAAGCCAUCCAGGAUGAAACCUGUCACACAGACAUCACCACACCAAGUCACAGAUGGUUUGUACUGAGAUGUCCUCACCACGUUAGUGUUAAGCACACAAGACGAAACCUGCUACACAGACAACACACCGGCCAAGCUACCACUGGUUGGUGAUGUAGAAAACCUCUGUGAAGAUGUGGACCCUUUGACAUCUGGCUCAGACACACAAGCUAAAGAGAAUGCCAUGAAAAUUAGGCCAGGUGAGGACCCUAGGCCUGAUAACAAGUUCCUGUUGAUCCCUGUCCAGGAGUAUGGUCCCAACUCAAUGAAGAAAUCUUCAUGCACCGGGUUUCUGACCCCAGGCUGAUCCAUGUAUGCAAAUGUGACUCUCUGAGGGCUUGUCCCUCCUCCUCGUCACUUACGAAAACCAUAAGUCUUGUGUCUCUGGACAGAGUAGAUCUAAUCCAGAUUACGCUGUUCCUCUUGCAUGUGGUUCUCAGCACACCUGAUGGCUAGUGCUCUACUCCUGGGUCAUGAACAUUUCCCAGGGCUUUUACAGUUUUCCUCAGCGUUAUCAUUGGCUGGUCACCCAGUCUCUGAAGGACAGAUGAUAGGUCCAUAGAUAAACCAGAGUUCUUCUCUUCAAGCUCACCAUUUUACAUUAAAGUUCUCUUGAACUUACAAGGAACUUAACAAUCUCCUCAAACACUGGAGUUAAACGCGUCUUCACAGUGCUGGCAAGAAACUUACUGUGAAGUGUAAUUCUUUACAAUUACAAGCGUAUUCUUCGUGGUUGCACUGGAAGAGGAGUCAGGGACAGCUAUUGAGAGCUGUAUCUGGGGAUAUCUUGUCUGCUAAGGAGCCCUGGCUUCCUUGGCAGACAAGGCAUGAUUGGCUGGACUCAACUGAGAAUUCUUUGACUUGUUCCCCUCUCAGACCCAUCCAACCCAGACAGCCUUUAUGUCUAGCAUAGAUCUACAUACAUAUGUACACAUGUAACGCACAUACUAAAGAAUGCUUCCAGAGUUUGUAAAGGGCAUGUGCUCCGCUAAGCACAGUGAGUGUUACAGGGAGGAAAGGGUCUCUACUGAGAUCUUAAAAAAUAAACAAACCCCAUAAAAUAUAGCAUCUGGCUUCUCUAAAGGGCCCCCUUUAAGCUCUAUGUUCUGAUGACCCAAUUUACCCUUUUAAAAGAUAACUUUGUGGCAACUGUUGCUUUUCUUUUUUUAUUUCAAUUUUUUUAUUAGAUAUUUUCUUCAUUUACAAUUCAAAUGCUAUCCCAAAAGUCCCUUAUACCCUCCCUCAACCCUGCUCUCCAACCCACCCACUCCCACUUCCUGGCUCUGGUAGUCCCCUGUAUUGGGGGCAUAUAAUUUUUGCAAGACCAAGGGCCUCUCCUCCCAAUAAUGGCCGACUAGGUCAUCUUCUGCUACAUAUGCAGCUAGAGACACGAACUCUGGGAGUACUGGUUAGUUCAUAUUGUUGUUCCUCCUAUAGGGUUAUAGACCCCUUCAGCUCCUUGGAUACUUUCUCUAGCUCCUCCAUUGGGGGCCCUGUGUUCCAUCUUAUAGAUGACUGUGAGCAUCCACUUCUGUAUUUGCCAGGCACUGGCAUAGCCUCACAAGAGACAGCUAUAUCAGGGUCAUGUCAGCAAAAUCUUGCUGGCAUAUGCAAUAGUGUCUGCAUUUGGUGGUUGAUUAUGGUAUGGAUCCCUGGAUGGGGCAGUCUCUGCAUAGUCCUUCCUUCUGUCUCAGCUCCAAAUGUUGUCUCUGUAACUCUUUGCAUGGGUAUUUUGUUGCCCGUUCUAAGGAGGGACAAAGUAUCCACACGUUGGUCUUCCUUCUUGAGUUUCAGGUGUUUUGCAAAUUGUAUCUUGGGUAUUCUAAGUUUCUGGGCUAAUAUCCACUUAACAGUGAGUGCAUAUCAUGUGAGUUCUUUUGUGAUUGGGUUACCUCACUCAGGAUGAUGCCCUCCAGACCCAUCCAUUUGCCUAAGAAUUUCAUAAAUUCAUUGUUUUUAAUAGCUGAGUAGUACUCCAUUGUGUAAAUGUACCACAUUUUCUGUAUCCAUUCCUCUGUUGAGGGACAUCUGGGUUUUUUCCAGCUUCUUCUGAACUAUAUGGAGUGAUGGGAACCCCAAGAGCCUAAAGUGAAGACUUCUCCACACCAAACACCUUCUAAGAAAGGCACUUCUCUUUCCUUCCUGUAUCUGUUCUAAAUUCACACUAGUGUGAGGCAGCCGGACCUCUGCUUGGAUCAGCAGGUACUGUUAUCACACAAGCCUUUGUGGACCCCAUUUGCAACAUUUUUUUUUCUUCCCUGCCUGUUAAGGAUAUUCUCAACUCGAUGCAACUAUUCUUUGGUUAUUUUUUUUUCUUUCUAGCCUUCUAUUCAUUUCUGUUGAGUUACUCUAGGGAUUUUUUUUUUCAUUUUGGUUAAAACUUUCAGCUCAAGAAUCCCUGUUUCCAAUUAAUUCCUAUUAAUAGUUGCUACAUAAACCAUCCUUUAACUAUGAUCCACUUACCAGAGAACUGUAAGCCAGUAUCCUGGUGUGUGUCUGGGGGGGGGGGGGUGAAGGGGGAGAAGGAGAGAGGGAGGAGAGGGGAAGAGAGAAAUGGUGGCACCAGACAGAGGGGAGAUAAAAGGAGGGUUUCUUUGCUCAACUGUAAACAAAAGUAAAGAAAUGGGAUGAUGCAAAAUCAACUGUAAACGGAAGUAAAGAAAUAAGAUAAUGAAAAAUCAAAAUAUUUGGGAAGAAUGGCAAGUGAAGAAAGCAGUUCAGAUGGUGGAGGUGAUUAAUUUUAUGCUGUAUCGGCAGCCCAUGGCUACUGCAACCAAAUACCACAAACCCAGUAGGGAAUCAUUCCUUUGUAACUCCACUGUCAGGACCAUUUCUCCUGCCAGCCCUGCAGGACUCCAACCUCUAACAUGCUCCAGGUUAUUUGCGGAGCUGCAGUAGCAGAACUCCAUGCAGCCCCAGCCUCCUGCUCCACAUACCUUCUCUGUGUCUCAUCUUUGUUUCUUAAGAGGACAGUUGCCUUGGCCUGGGGCUUUCCUAUCUACCUGCCUCUUGAAUUUAUGGUUCUUAAGAGUCAUUUAGGCCCAUGGUUCUCAACCUUCCUAAUGCUGUGAACUUUGAAUACAGUUCCUCAUGGUGUGGUUACACACACACACACACACACACACACACACACACACACACACACACACACCAACCAUAAAAUUACUUCAUUGCUAGCUACUUCAUAACUAAUCUUGCUGCUGUAAUGAAUCAUAAUGUAAACAUCAGAUAUACAGGAUAUCUGAUAUGUGACCCCCCCACCAAAGAGAUCUUGAAAACCACGAUUUGAGUAGCUUCCCUAAAUGGGCUCACACAGAGCUACCCAUCAUGCAGUGCAUUUGUAGUAGCCAGCCCUACUAUGUGAUGUGGCUAGAAUGGGUCUAGACUGGGUUGUGGGGAGAUCCAGUUUCCUCAGCAGACCUGCUUUCCUUAUAGCCAGCUCUCCAGGGCCAAGCCAGAUGCUGGGAGUACCUGGGGAUAUAUAUAGUGCAGGAACCCUCUCUGUGGAGCUUCAAGUUGCAACUCACUGGACACCAGGCUGCCGGGAUGAGAUAGGAAAGAAACACUCAGCCAGGUUUCUGAGUGCUCAGCUGUGUGUCCUAGCACAUAAAACUGUUCCAAAUGGCUCAGGAUUCAGUCCUCUUUUCCAAAGUGCAUCCUUCCCCUCUAUGAACUACUGGGAAGUGGUGGGUAGAGCAUAGGAGACAGCAAAGAGGUACCAGAGGAGUCAAGGGCCUGGGCAGGCAUCGAUGGUGCUCCAGAGAAGACUCGUUUUUGUUUUGUUUUCGAGAAAGGGUUUCUCUAUGUAGCCCAAGCUGUCCUGGAACUCACUCUGUAGACCAGGCUAGCCUCAAACUCAGAGAUCUGCCUGCCUCUGCCUCCUAACUAAUUACUGGGAUCAAAGACAUGCACCAUCACCACCCAGCUCUAAGUCAGACUCUUAACAACACACACUAUUUGAAUGUGCUUGGCCCAUGGGACGUGACACUUUUAGGAUAUGUGGCCUUAUUUAAGAAAGUGUGUCACUGUGGGGAUAGGCUUUGAGGUCUCUCAUGUGUAGGCUCUUCUCAGUGUAGAAGAGAGCCUCCUCCUGGCUGCCUUUGAAUCAAAAUGUAAAACUCUUGGCUCCUCCAGCCCCAUGUCUGCCUGCACUCUGCCAUGUUUCCCACCAUGAUAAUGAUGUGAACCUCUGAACCUGUAAGCCAACCCCGAUGAAAUGUUUGUUUUUAUAAGUGUUGCCUUGGUCAUGGUGUCUCUUCACAGUAAUAAACCCUAACUAAGACACACAUCUUGAAUUCUGAGCUGUGCAUUUUGGGGAGAAAUUGGUGAUAGUCACAGUAUAUCCCAUUGAACAAGAGCCUGCAUGUAGCCCUCCAUGUGCAGGGCCAAGUU